rnacentral:rRNA from 1 species
GAUGAACGCUAGCUACAGGCUUAACACAUGCAAGUCGAGGGACCGGCGCACGGGUGAGUAACGCGUAUCCAACCUGCCCUUUACUCCGGGAUAGUCUCCUGAAAGGGAGUUUAAUACCGGAUGGUAAAGGAUGGGGAUGCGUCCCAUUAGCUUGUUGGCGGGGUAACGGCCCACCAAGGCGACGAUGGGUAGGGGUUCUGAGAGGAAGGUCCCCCACAUUGGAACUGAGACACGGUCCAAACUCCACGGGAGGCAGCAGUGAGGAAUAUUGGUCAAUGGGCGGGAGCCUGAACCAGCCAAGUAGCGUGAAGGACGACGGCCUACGGGUUGUAAACUUCUUUUAUAAGGGAAUAUGUACCUUAUGAAUAAGCAUCGGCUAAUUCCGUGCCAGCAGCCGCGGUAAUACGGAAGAUGCGAGCGUUAUCCGGAUUUAUUGGGUUCAAAGGGAGCGUAGGCGGGCUUUUAAGUCAGCGGUCAAAUGUCGUGGCUCAACCAUGUCAAGCCGUUGAAACUGUAAGCCUUGAGUCUGCACAGGGCACAUGGAAUUCGUGGUGUAGCGGUGAAAUGCUUAGAUAUCACGAAGAACUCCGAUCGCGAAGGCAUUGUGCCGGGGCAUAACUGACGCUGAGGCUCGAAAGUGCGGGUAUCAAACAGGAUUAGAUACCCUGGUAGUCCGCACGGUAAACGAUGAAUGCUCGCUAUGGGCCCGUGGCCAAGCGAAAGCGUUAAGCAUUCCACCUGGGGAGUACGCCGGCAACGGUGCAACUCAAAGGAAU